rnacentral:ncRNA from 2 species
AAUUAAAUAUUGUAUUUGGGUGAUCCCGAUAUUAUAUCAGGAUAGAAUAGGGAAGAGGGUGAAAAUCCCUCACGGACCCGCCACUGUGAACGGUACGAAAUCUGCACCGAAAGCCACUAGUUUUUACUGGGAAGGCGUCAGAGAGUAGGAUAGAACCGUAAGUCAGGAGACCUGCCCAGAUACGUUAGUAUGC